GAUUCUGGCUCAGGAUGAACGCUGGCGGCGUGCCUAACACAUGCAAGUCGAACGAGCGAGGUAUGAAACCUAGUGAUUACCGAGCGAGUGGCGGACGGGUGAGUAACGCGUGGGUAACCUGCCUUACAGAGGGGGAUAACAGUUUGAAAAGACUGCUAAUACCGCAUAAGCACACAGUACCGCAUGGUACAGGGUGAAAAGAUUUAUCACUGUAAGAUGGACCCGCGUCUGAUUAGCCGGUUGGCAGGGUAACGGCCUACCAAAGCGACGAUCAGUAGCCGACCUGAGAGGGUGAUCGGCCACAUUGGGACUGAGACACGGCCCAAACUCCUACGGGAGGCAGCAGUGGGGGAUAUUGCACAAUGGAGGAAACUCUGAUGCAGCCGACGCCGCGUGAGUGAAGAAGUAUUUCGGUAUGUAAAGCUCUAUCAGCAGGGAAGAUAAUGACAGUACCUGACCAAGAAGCCCCGGCUAACUACGUGCCAGCCGCCGC
rnacentral:rRNA from 1 species